GUGCACCUGGCGUGUGUGUGUGUGUGUGUGUGUGUGUGUGUGUGCACGUGUGUGUCGGCGGUGCUAUGAAUGGGCAUAGAAGGGUGUUCUCUCACAGACACCGUCACAGCAGUGAAAUGAGGAGUGCCUUCCACUCCGCUGCACGUCUGCUGUGCUGAGAGAAGACGAGGAAGAGGAGGGAUAAGGAGUUUCUCCAGAUUUUUAAAAAGAAGUUUCUCAUCCAUCAACAGUGAGCCUCACCUGAACAUAACCUGAGUCAAACAUGGAGCAGAAGACCAAUGAGAGUUCCACCUCCACCUCCCCUCAGAAGCACAUGAAGAGCAGAUCUAAAUCCACCGAGGAGAUGCAACAGUCUAAGAAGGCCUUUUCCUCACAAAAGUCCCUGCCAGGCAGGCCAGAGCUGGACAGAGUGAAGGAGUGCCCCGAUGGCUCCGACACGCCCUCGUCCUCCACCGAGGAGCUAAAGUGAUUUAUGAAAUCAACAUCAGUAACAAAACAUGUACAUAUGGUCAAGGGAAAUUGUGCAGAGCAUUUAGAAUAAAAUGAUGCUUAAAUCAUGAGAGGAGCCCCUGAAUCAAUCCCCAUUGUGCUGAGUGCCCACCAUCUGUGUGAUGACAAUAAAGUCAUGCUGUUGAAGAAA